GACGAACGCUGGCGGCGUGCUUAACACAUGCAAGUCGAACGGUAAGGCCCUUCGGGGUACACGAGUGGCGAACGGGUGAGUAACACGUGGGUGAUCUGCCCUGCACUUCGGGAUAAGCCUGGGGAACUGGGUCUAAUACCGGAUAGGACCACUGCCUGCAUGGGUGGUGGUGGAAAGCGUUUGCGGUGUGGGAUGGGGCCGAGGCCUAUCAGCUUGUUGGUGGGGUGAUGGCCUACCAAGGCGACGACGGGUAGCCGGCCGGAAUGGGUGACCGGGCACACUGGGACUGAGAUACGGCCCAGAGUCCUACGGGAGGCAGAAGUGGGGAAUAUUGCACAAUGGGCGCAAGCCUGAUGCAGCGACGCCGCGUGAGGGAUGACGGCCUUCGGGUUGUAAACCUCUUUCAGCACCGACGAAGCGCAAGUGACGGUAGGUGCAGAAGAAGGACCGGCCAACUACGUGCCAGCCGCCGCGGUAA
rnacentral:rRNA from 1 species